AGUGAACGCUGGCGGUAGGCCUAACACAUGCAAGUCGAACGGCAGCACAGUAAGAGCUUGCUCUUACGGGUGGCGAGUGGCGGACGGGUGAGGAAUACAUCGGAAUCUACUUUUUCGUGGGGGAUAACGCAGGGAAACUUACGCUAAUACCGCAUACGACCUACGGGUGAAAGCAGGGGAUCUUCGGACCUUGCGCGAUUGAAUGAGCCGAUGUCGGAUUAGCUAGUUGGCGGGGUAAAGGCCCACCAAGGCGACGAUCCGUAGCUGGUCUGAGAGGAUGAUCAGCCACACUGGAACUGAGACACGGUCCAGACUCCUACGGGAGGCAGCAGUGGGGAAUAUUGGACAAUGGGCGCAAGCCUGAUCCAGCCAUCCCGCGUGGGUGAAGAAGGCCUUCGGGUUGUAAAGCCCUUUUGUUGGGAAAGAAAAGCAGCAGGUUAAUACCCCGCUGUUCUGACGGUACCCAAAGAAUAAGCACCGGCUAACUUCGUG
rnacentral:rRNA from 1 species